rnacentral:lncRNA from 1 species
AAGCACUGGCCGGAAACCGUGGUGUUCCGCCCAAUGCCUUGUGGGAGUUGUAGUUCUUGGAGAAGCCCCACCUUUCCCUUUGUAGUGCCCGCCUGCCUGAGAGGCUGUGAGCGCUCCUAAGAGGAGAUCAAAGAAGCUUGGGGGGCUUCAGGGGAAGAAAAUCCCUCCUUUAACAAAUUUGCUGUAUCCUUGACAUCCAUCAACAGCUUCAUUGAUGACUUGGGCUACCAAGGGAGUCAGGAGCUGACCAGUGAAGAAGAUCCCAGCCUUGUUCAGACGAAGAGGCGGAAGCAGAACAAGGUUUGCAUUCUCCAGAUGAGGAAAAAUGAGGUGAAAGAGGAAGACAAGGAGGACAAGGAGGAUGAGGAAGAGGAGGAGGACCAGAGAGAGGGGCCCCCUACCUCUUUGCAAUCACCUAGGACAGGACAGAGGCAAUGCCCGUACUCAAGAAUCCGCCAAGUGAGGCACAAGGAGCACCUGAGCAUCUUGGAAAGUGGCUUGAGCUUAUCCACCAAUGAAACCAAGUUGUCUGUCCAUGUUUUUGCCAAUACUUAUGUAGCUGCUGCCACAGGAAGCAGAAGUCAGUGGAGGAAAACAAGGCAUCCGACUCUGGAGCAAGGAGGAGCCCGGGUGAGACUGACUCAGCUGUGAGCUUCACUAAUGGGUGAUGGUCCAGAUCUCCACGGGGCUCCAAGGAAAGCUCUGGGCAGAAGCCAGAAGAGCAGAGUGUAAUCCUUCCGCUUAGAAAUAAAGCACAUUUUAUUUUUGUGAAUGGCAUGUGUGAGCCUGAUGAUUCCAGGUUUUUUUUGUUUUGUUUUGUUUUGUUUUUUUGCUAGAUGUAUUCAAUCCCUGCCCCACUUUAUCUCUCUGAACAUCCCGUUUGCUUGCUCCUUCCUUCCUUGCUUGACCCCAGGAGUUUGAGACCAGUCUGGGCAACAUGGUGAAAUCCCAUCUCUACAAAAAAAUAUAAAAAUUAGCUGGGCAUGGGCUGGGCGCGACGGCUCACGCCUGUGAUCCCAGCACUUUGGGAGGCCGAGGCUGUCAGAUCACCUGAGGUCAGAAGUUCGAGACCAGCCUGGCCAACAUGGUGAAACCCCAUCUCUACUAAAAACACAAAAAAUUACCUGGGUGUCAUGGCGGGCACCUGCAAUCCCAGCUACUCAGGAGGCUGAGGCAGAAGAAUCACUUGAACCUGGAAUGGGGAGGUUGCAGUGAGCCGAGAUUGCAUCACUGCACUCUAGCCUGGGUGACAAGAGUGAAACUCCAUCUUGAAAAAAAAAACCAAAAAAAAAAAAACAAAAACAAAACAAAA